GUCACACGUAGCAGCAACGCCAGGCGGCACAUAGUGCGUGUCCCGAAGACGAGGUCCAGUGCGCCGAGCGCGACCUGUACACUCGGGAUAAUCGCACGUUGCAUCUCAUCGCUUCCUCCCAGCGAGAACCUGGAGCCGCUGCAGCUGCAACAUGAGCAAUCCCGGAGCGGACAGAUGGCGGCCGAUGGCCAUUUCGAACCCGUCAACCCGACUGCGUAUCGCCCGCUCCAUGCCUCACUGGGUGAUGCAGGCACAGCAGCAGGCGGAAAAGGAGCAGCAGCGCCAGCCAGAUCGACCGCCAACGCCGCCGAAAAAUCCUCCACCCUCCUUGUCCGGGGACUGUGGCGACCCGGACUACGAGGUCAUCGAAUUUCCUCCCCGUAAUCCCACCGCUUCAGCCGCCAACAGCAACGUGAAUAACAAUCGGCCUAAGAGUUCACCAGCUGGAAUCUCAAACGGACACGCACCGACGACACCGACGACGACGACGACAGUUCAACGCAUCAAGUGCAGCCUGUGCGGUGCCGAGCGCGUCACGAUGCGCUGCGACAACUGCAACGACGUCUUCUGCGACAGCUGCGACGAGGCGAAUCACAAGCAUCCGAAGCGUCGGGCUCACACUCGCCGACGUAUUUUUCAGCCUCCGGAGAACGGGGGCAGACAGGUCAAGCCGCCACUGCCACCCAAGGGCGACACCGGCAAUCCACCGCCUGUACCACCGCCCCGAAGAAAUCGAAGGGGUAAUCAGGCCAAAUCACCGCAGCAGCUGCCGGGCUUUCCACCCAUGGACGCGAGCAGGUCGUCGACGCUGAGACGUGGCGUCGUCGGUUCGACGUCGACGCUCUCAAGGCCACUACCGGCGCCGCCACCUCCUGACGCAGGUUUCGUCCAGGCGCACAGAAGCGCACAGGCACUCAACAACGCGCAGGAGGCUGCUAUCAGUGGUACUGAUAAGAUGUCGACUUUGCAGGAGAGAUACCGCAGGUACCAAGAGGCAAUGCGAGCACAGGACGCGACGCGACGAAGACACCCUUCGGUUGACGUAGGCUCGAACCGGGACAGUUGCAGUCCCAGACCUAUGAGCAUGACGGGCCCGAUGUCUCCUACGCCACCGAUGCAGAGACACAGUUUGACGUCUCCACCGCCACCUCCACCGCCGGUCAGGAGCAUGAUGCAGUCGGCCAGUGUUUGCGACUUGAGCUCACCCAAUGCUUGGGCUCAGGGAAUGCAUCAGGCCCAGUCAGUGGCACACUUGGGCGCCAUGAACAGUCCAAUGAUGUGGUAUCCAGGUGUCAAUCUCUGGGAUAGUCCAAUGGGUCCUACGAUGGGCGGCUCGAGUCUGAGCCUGAACCAACCGCCGAUGUGGCCUGGUUAUCCAAUGGGUUACGGGAUGCCACCACCUCACCUCUUACCGCCUCACUAUCCAGGCAUGGCUCCGUCAUCUCGGGCACACAGUCCAGCCCGAAGUGUGAAAUCAGGGAGACGAUCCAAGGCCCCGUCACCGUCGCCUAGUCUCAAGUCCAGAAAGUCCACCGCCUCGACGAGAUCCAGGAUAAGAAGGUCACCCAGCUCGCCCUCGGAUGCUUCGUCUGAAGAUUCGGAUGAGUCGGACUUCGAUGACAGGAUGUCCAGGAGCUCGAGGUACAACGGGCGGAGAGACAGCGUGAGCAGCGCUAGAGCGAGGAGUAGGGGAUACCAUCAGGAUGAGUUUGCCAGGAAUAAGAGGAAUUGGCGUUCGGAGGACAGAAUAAACAGUCUAGAGGAGCAAUGGAUCGCCAAUCACUUCCCAGCGAACGGAGCCAGACCCGUCGACAUCGAGGACGAUCGUCGUUCUCUCGCUUCGAACCGUCGAGCUCACGAUGAAGAUUCUCGUCUGCCCGACGAUGUGCCGCUACCAAACCGGUACAACCGAGCCGGAAGCGUUCAUGCGAUUCGCAGUGGUCAGAGCACCGACGACUCGGUUUCCGGGCCCCAGAGGAACGGCGGCGGCGGCAGAUCCAAGGUGACCAGCUCGUCGGACGAUUACGUGGACAGGCAGCUUCCAGAGAUGCGCGGUACGCUGCCCAGGUCCAUGUCCAGGAGGACACAAGAGGAUGGGAGACAGCUGCGAAGGGGAGAUUCCGAGGAAAGAGAGGGUAGGAUUGACAGGAAGAGCUGUCAAUCAGGCUCGGUCAGGAGCGGAAGACUGUCGUCGUUCGAGGAGAGCGACGGCGUAGAGCAGACUGCUGCUGGUUCGAGAGCAUACCCCAGCGAAAAAUGCAGACAGCGAAGUGCCUCUUCUCCACCACCGCAAGAUCGCCGCCCGAGUCGUGGCCGCCUUCACAGAUCACCUACUCCUGAGAAGCACAAAAUCACCGAAAGAACCGCGUCUCAUCGUUCGCCUACGCCGGAAAGACGAAAGGUUGCAGAGAAACCAUCCCCUAGAUCUCCUACCCCGGAGAAACGCACGAGAGCCCCAUCGCGAUCGGCAACGCCUGAGAGACGCGCCAAGCCGCAAGAGAAAAAACCACCGGUGGCACCGAGCAGCGAACAGAAACGCAGUGAAACACCAAAGAGAAAUGGCGAUAGCACAAGGGACCUGAUGCAAGAGGUACUUAGAGGCGAAUGGCCAUGCGAAUACUGUACGUUCCUGAACGAGCCAAAAGACAAAGUAUGUGCGGUUUGUUGCAAGACAAAGACCAGUGCGUUACCACCGCCGAAACAGGACGACGAAGACCAGGAUGAGGCUGACGGGUCUGGGAAUAGUUUUAGCAAAAUGAAACUCAGCAACGCCACGACCGGCAACGGCAAUGGGAACGGUGGCGAAUCUACCGAGAGCCCUGACAGCGGCAGCGGUCUCAAGGGCAAAGAUGCCGGAGUGACAGAAGAAGAAACACGAAAGCCCACAGAUACUCCAGAACCUCCACAGACAAUCAAAUCCGAAGAACCCAAGACCAUUCCCACCGAGACGAAAACGCAAAACACGUCGAGGGGAAGGUCGCCCAUUAAAGAACCACCACAUGAAGAUAGCCCGACGUCGAUCGAAUCCAAGACAGUAGCCACGAGCACUAGUACAUCGACCGAACCUACGACACAGUCCACGACUACGACGACAUCGACUGAAGUCAAGGCAAAAUCUACAACUACGAACACGUCAACCGAAACUUCAACGCAAAUUGAUGAAUCGGAAAAAAUACAGAAACCAGUUGCAGAGAAGAAAGAUUCGGCUACCGAUAGCGCGGAACCUAGUGCUAAAAUAGAAGAUAAGAAGACUUCGAAUAACGUGGGUAAAGAGGUAAAGAGCACGACUGUUUCCACGGGCACCUCACCACCCCCACAAAGCAUUUCUACACAAACCUACGAAGACCCAAGCACCCUGAGAGAAAGGGAAGGUACGUUUCGCAGGGCUGCCUCGCUGGCUCCCUCGAAAUGCUCGACGAGAUACGACGACAGCGAUUCAGAAGACGGUAGAUUUCCAAGCAGCCCAGACGCGUACAAUGGACGCAUAAGUCAACGUGGAGGCAGACAGUCAGCCAGGGAUAGGACUAGAAGAAACUCGCUCAGCUCGCCGCAUCCUUAUUACCGUUCCAGGGAGCCAAGCCAGACGCGUUACAACGAACCCAUCGCCACGGGCAACUCUGUUCUUCAGAGCUUGACCCGUCAAGGCCUAGAGCUGGUUCAGGUAUUGCGAGAAGCCGAACGUCGAGGUUUCUCAGCCGACGACAUUCAGGUAGCCCUAGCCCAGGAUCCGGCGAACCCACUUGACUGGCUCAGAAAUCAGUGGCCUCAUUUGAUCGAAACUGUUCAAAUACUCACGUCAACCAGAGGCAAAGAUUUAGGCGAAGGUAACGACGUCGGAACCCUUAGCGCUGCUGAAGCUAAAGAGGUGUUAAGGCUCGCCAAAGGGGAUAUCUGGAUUGCUGUUGCCAGUGCCAUUCAGAUGCGUCAGAGAAAGUGCCAAAGUAUAAUGGCCAAAGGAAACUUUACGCUGCACAGUGUCAUCACAGCACUGGAUAACAAUGCAGGCAACGAGGAUGCAUCGUUGCUGGAGUUGCAGAAGGACCAAUUGAAACCAUUUUUGAUGAGGAUUUGGGGACCCCCCACCGGAGUUGAAAACGAAGAAGCUGCUCCUAUGCCAGGAAAUUAUCCAACAGCAUCAACUUCGACUAGUCUGCAGUACCAGCCGCAACAAGCCCAGCAGCAGGACGUCGCCUUUCUUCAGGACAAGGAGGCGAAGAAACAGGUAAUUCCCACGACUAUGUAUACCGACGUGCACACAGACUUUCAACGGCAGUUGGCUGCACUGCGCGAGCUCACAGCGAAUUGGGAGCGCGAGGAGGAGCAACAGAUGCUGGCCGGAAAGGCUCAGCUCGCAACGAGGAAGGUGAAGUCUCCGGAACUGAGGGACGAGGUCGAACUGCUCAGAGGAGCCUCCGAACGAUUGGAGAAGGAGUUAUUGAGGAUAACUGGAGAAGAGGAACUGAAGAAGAGUAAGAUGGUAGGCGCGAAGGGUACUAAGAUCGAAGUUGAAGGUGAUCGAAUUGAAACUCAAAACGAUGCUGGAGCCAGGCAUUACGAGAAUAUCGAGUUAAAAAAUACGGAUGUGGUUGUCGGAGAAGAGAAGAUAAUGGUAGAAAAUGAUGCGUUCGUUGAAAGUAAAGUUGAAACGCAAGUCGCUACAGCUGCGAAGAGAGAAGAUGAAGGCACACUAGUGGAAGAUAAAACAGAAAAGCUGACAAAGGAUAAAGAAACAAUUGAAAGGGUUGAGCAUCAGAUCGAACAAGUACAAGAAUUAAAGGAAAUAAUUGAAGGAGUGAAGAAUGAUAAUGGUAUUGAAGAUAAAAUAGAUAAUAAUGUUAAUGUAAGUGAAGCGACUCAAAUUGAAGCUAAGAAUGAACAACUGCAAUUGGACGAAAAGGUUAUAGAUACACCUGUAAAUGAUCAAACUAAACCAGAUGAAAUCGUUACAAACAAAAUUGGAAACAGUACUCACGAGCUUGAGUCCAAUUUGGCAAAUGACAUUCAAGAUCAAGUAGUAUUACUUGAAAAUUUAAAAGAAAUAGAUGCAGAGACGAAAAAUGAUACGAUUUCAAAAGAGCAAAGUCUAAUAAACGUAUCUGAAGAAGCUGUUGGCGUAACUGUUAAUAAUCAAAUAAUGAUAGAAGAAACAAAUGAUUUGAUUACAGAUGAAAGCGAUAAAAGGGCAGUAGACGCCGUAAUACUAAACGAUGCUACACCAGAUAUGAAGUCAACAGAAACCUCAAACAUUGACACGAAAAAAGACGAAAUGACUAAACCGGAACCCUUGACACAAUCAUCCGCAGUUAAUAAAAAAGUCGGAAAUUUCCUAAAUUCAGAAAAUAUAGUAGCUCAACCUGAAGCAGUACAACAACUUAUGAGUGCUAUGAAAAUGCUUCCAGAACAAUUGUUAGGACAGAUUACUGCAGCUUUGGGAAUGCUGGCACCUCAGAAGGCCGAAAGCACCGCUAUUGAUAGCACUAAUUCAACUGAUGCUGUACAAAGAAAUAACAUUUCAGAAACUCCCAGUUCCAGUAAUGUUAACUUUGAAAAAGCAGUUGUCAAUCCAACAAACGAAUCAACGAGCAUUGAAAGUACAAAAGACAAUCCUCAACCGACGACGGAAAGAUUGUCUGAAAUCAGUAAGAAUACUCCAGUUUUUGCAGUCGAGACGUUAAAUACUAGUAUUCCUGAGGAAGAGAAAAUAAAUUCUGCAACUAAUGAUAAAUCGAGUAUUGUCGAUAAUUCAGUUCCAAUGUCUAAUGCCCUUGAAACCAAAGAAAAUAAUACGUCAAUGCAAAGUAAACCCAACGAAACCAUAAACUCCGAGGAAGAAAAUCGUAGCAAUGAGAAUCUACCUAUCAAAAAUCAAAGUAAACUUGAAAUAACAUCCGAAAAUGCCAUUCCAGAAGUAGCAGUAAAAAUUUCAGAUGAUAUCAAAGUAAACAAGUCGCAAAAUUCACAAGCUGAAGAUGUACCUUCGACGGAGUAUCAGUCUACAGAAAAUAAGAUGAAAAAAGAAACCGAAAAAAUUAUCCUUUCAGCAAAUCAUGAAAAUAAUGCUAGCAAUGUAUCCAUUAUUGAAAGUAUCAAUGUUGCAGAGAAUCAAGUCGCUGAAAUUAAAAUUACGAUUGACUCACCUAACAUUGAAAGAGAACAAAAUGAAUCUUCGCCUACCACUUCCGAAUCAGUCAAUACAGCAAUAACAGAAACUAAUGAGCUUAAAAAGAUAGAACAAACGGAAAAUACGAAUAAUACAACAGAAAUGAUAGAAACACCGUUAGAAAAAGAUACCAAUGUCCCAGUACCACUCGCCAUCACUGACAGCAUGCAUAUCGCAACCGACAAAAUCGAAAUAACUUCCGCGACAACAAACACAGAAGGCUCAUCUGCCAUCGAAAUCACUGUAUCUUCUCCGGAACCUCCGAAAUCACCAAAAAUAUCAUCAAAAGGGAGAGUCGCCAGGCGACUGCUGGCCGAGGGCAGAGCCUCGAGCUACGAGGAAGCCGAGGUAGCGGCGAGUUUACUCUCCCUAAAAUUCAACGACGAGGAAGCUCUCCAGGCAGCCAAACAGUGCAGCAGCGUCGAGGCAGCUUUGGCAUUUUUGCAGCAGGAGUGCGAGCUCUGUACCGGUAGAUUUUCCAUGAGCCAGAUGGUAUCGAUGCUGAGGUGUACGCACCGCUGCUGCAACGACUGCGCAAAGAACUACUUCACCAUUCAGAUAAGCGACCGCAGUAUCGUCGAUGCCGUCUGUCCGUUUUGUAAAGAGCCGGAGCUGAGGGACGCCGAUGAGGACGAAGUUCUCGAGUAUUUCAGUAUACUAGAUAUACAACUGAAAUCAUUACUCGAUCCGCCCAUACACGAGCUUUUCCAGCGGAAGCUCAGGGAUCGUACGCUGAUGCAGGAUCCUAACUUCAAGUGGUGUGUCCAGUGUUCAAGUGGAUUUUACGCGGAUCCCAAUCAGAAGAGGCUGAUUUGCCCGGACUGCAAAUCUGUUACUUGCGCAUCUUGUCGAAAACCGUGGGAGAAACAGCACGAGGGUAUCAGUUGCGAGCAAUUCGCCGCCUGGAAGGACGAGAACGAUCCCGAUAAUCAGGCUAAGGGUCUGGCGGAGCACUUGGCGGACAAUGGAAUCGAUUGCCCCAAGUGCAAAUUCAAAUAUUCCCUCUCUCGUGGAGGAUGCAUGCACUUCACCUGCAGCCAGUGCAAGUACGAGUUCUGCUGUGGCUGUGGCAUGAAGUUCGUGAUGGGCGCAAAGUGUGGAGUGAGCGCAUACUGUGCCAAACUGGGACUUCACGCGCAUCAUCCACGCAACUGUCUCUUUUACCUGCGCGAUAAGGAACCGGCCCAAUUGCAGCAGCUGCUCCGGGAAAACAAUAUCAGCUACGACACCGUUGGUCCCGUGGACCAGAAGCGAUGCAAAGUGCAACUGCAAAAGGAGACGCCCGCUGGGGUUGUGGAUGCGGUUUGUAACAAUGAAGUCGUCGAGGGACACGCCGGACUCUGCAGGGUCCACUACAUCGAGUACCUCGUCCGCGAGGUGCGUCGGGCGCGUCUGGAGCCACUGCCUCUGAUGAGCGUCGACGACCUCGAGACAUGCGUCCUGCGGGCCGGUCUGAAGCUGCCGGCCAACUGGUACGGCCGCGACCCCGUCGACUACCGGCAGGACCUGCUCGAGGUAAACAAAUUACUAGCCGCAUAAGUAAAUCGGGUGGGUGUACUUUUUCCCGACAGGCAGCACUACAUUGAGUACCUGGCGGGCCUCGUGCUCAAGAGAAGGCUGGACCCUGUGGCGAUCUUUGACUUGAACGACGCCAAGCAGGAGUUGCGCCGUCGGGGAAAAGUGCCGCCUGCCAAGAACCAGCAAAUGUCCGAGCAAGAUUACCUCGACGCCUGCAUUAAGAUUGUACGGAAGGAGAUUCCACUUGAGUAGCAGAAGAAGCAUUCAAAAAAGAUUCAUAAUAUUAUGAAUAUGUAAUGUGCCUUUGAAGUUUCGUGAUAUUCACCAAGCUUGCCUUUUAUUUAUUGUAUUUACUAUAUAAAGAAAUAAUGUUAAGAUACAUACUACAACAGUUUGUAGAUAAGAAACACUGCGAUGAUUUUUUCUUAGUUAAUAAAGUUCUUUGAGAAAAUUA